AGUUUGAUCCUGGCUCAGGAUGAACGCUCGUUGCGUGCUUAACACAUGCAAGUCGAACGGGCUCAUAUUGAAACCUAGUGAUUUAUGAGUUAGUGGCGGACGGGUGAGUAACGCGUGGAAAACCUGCCGUAUACUGGGGGAUAACACUUAGAAAUAGGUGCUAAUACCGCAUAAGCGCACAGCUUCGCAUGAAGUGGUGUGAAAAACUCCGGUGGUAUACGAUGGUUCCGCGUCUGAUUAGCUUGUUGGCGGGGUAAUGGCUCACCAAGGCGACGAUCAGUAGCCGGCCUGAGAGGGUGAACGGCCACAUUGGGACUGAGACACGGCCCAAACUCCUACGGGAGGCAGCAGUGGGGAAUAUUGCACAAUGGGGGAAACCCUGAUGCAGCGACGCCGCGUGAGUGAAGAAGUAUUUCGGUAUGUAAAGCUCUAUCAGCAGGGAAGAAAUAGCGACCUUUGGGUCGCCAGACGGUACCUGAUUAAGAAGCCCCGGCUAACUACGUGCCAGCAGCCGCGGUAAUACGUAGGGGGCAAGCGUUAUCCGGAUUUACUGGGUGUAAAGGGAGCGUAGACGGCAGCACAAGUCUGAAGUGAAAUGCCGGGGCUUAACCUCGGAACUGCUUUGGAAACUGUGCAGCUAGAGUGCAGGAGAGGUAAGUGGAAUUCCUAGUGUAGCGGUGAAAUGCGUAGAUAUUAGGAGGAACACCAGUGGCGAAGGCGGCUUACUGGACUGUAACUGACGUUGAGGCUCGAAAGCGUGGGGAGCAAACAGGAUUAGAUACCCUGGUAGUCCACGCUGUAAACGAU
rnacentral:rRNA from 1 species